GAUAAUGAAGUAAAAAUUACAUUUAGUUUCGACCUAAAAUUAGGAUAUUAUAUCCCUUAUCU
rnacentral:tRNA from 1 species